UAGAGUCACCUUCUGCAGCAAUCACAGCUCCAAGUCGCUUUGGAUAAGUCUUGUGAACAGCAAUCUUUAAGUCUGACCACAGAUUUUCUAUUGGAUUGAGGUCUGGGCUUUGACUAGGCCAUUCCAACACAUUUACAUGUUUCCCCUUAAACCACUCAAGUGUUGCUUUAGCAGUGUGUUUUGGGUCAUUGUCCUACUGGAAGGUGAACCUCCGUCCUAGCCUCAAAUCACGCACAGAGUGAUACAGGUUUUUGCUUAAGAAUAUCCCUGUAUUUAGCACCAUCCAUCUUUCCCUCAACUCUGAUCAGUUUCCCAGUCCGGGCUGCUGAAAAACAUCCCCACAGCAUGAUGCUGCCACCACCAUGUUUCACUGUGGGGAUGGUGUCCUUUGGGUAAUGUGAUAUGUUGGGUUUGCGCCAGACAUAGUGUUUUAUUUGAUGGCCGAAAAGUUCAAUUUUAGUCUCAUCAGACCAGAGCACCUUCCUCCAUACAUUUUAAGAGUCUCCCACAUGCCUUUUUGGCAAACUCAAAACAUGCCAUUUAGUUUUUUGAUGAAAGUAAUGGCUUUCUUCUGGCUACUCUGCCAACUCUGUGGAGCAUACGGCUUAUUGUCAUCCUAUGUCCAGAUACUCCAGUCUCUGCUGUGGAACCCUGCAGUUCCUCCAGGGUUACCUGUGCUGCCUCUCUGAUUAAUGCCCUCCUUGCCCAGUCCAUGAGUUUUGGUGGACGGCCAUCUCUUGGUAGGUUUUCUAUUGUGCCAUGUUCUUUCCAUUUGGUUAUGAUAGAUUUGAUGGUGCUCCUGGGGAUCAUCAAAGAUUUGGAUAUUUUUUACAACCUAACCCUGACUUGUUCUUCUCAACAACAUUGUCGCUUACUUGUUUGAAGAGUUCCUUGGUCUUCAUGGCAGUGUUUGGUUAGUGGUGCCUCUUACUAGGUGUUGCAGCCUCUGGG